GACGAACGCUGGCGGCGUGCCUAAUACAUGCAAGUCGAGCGAGUCUGCCUUGAGGAUCGGAGUGCUUGCACUCUGUGAAACAAGAUACAGGCUAGCGGCGGACGGGUGAGUAACACGUGGGUAACCUGCCCAAGAGAUCGGGAUAACACCUGGAAACAGAUGCUAAUACCGGAUAACAACAGAUGAUGCCUAUCAACUGUUUAAAAGAUGGUUCUGCUAUCACUCUUGGAUGGACCUGCGGUGCAUUAGCUAGUUGGUAGGGUAACGGCCUACCAAGGCGAUGAUGCAUAGCCGAGUUGAGAGACUGAUCGGCCACAUUGGGACUGAGACACGGCCCAAACUCCUACGGGAGGCAGCAGUAGGGAAUCUUCCACAAUGGACGCAAGUCUGAUGGAGCAACGCCGCGUGAGUGAAGAAGGGUUUCGGCUCGUAAAGCUCUGUUGUUGGUGAAGAAGGACAGGGGUAGUAACUGACCUUUGUUUGACGGUAAUCAAUUAGAAAGUCACGGCUAACUAAGUG
rnacentral:rRNA from 1 species